rnacentral:rRNA from 1 species
AAGCUGGUAAGGUCACUCAUAGACUAUGAGUUUGAUAGGUCGGAUGUGUAAGCACAGUAAUGUGUUCAGCUUACCGAUACUAAUAGACCGAGGGCUUGAACCUUCA